rnacentral:lncRNA from 13 species
CCUGAACAGACCAUCAGUGAAAUAAACCUUGAGCAUUCACUCCACCCCUCUGACCUUCAGCGUCAACACUGAACAAGUAGAUAUAAUACUGUCUUCUUAGCAGGCUCAAAGAGGAUUAAAUGAGAUGACAGACAUAAAAUGGGUAGUGCAACGCUUGGUUCACUGGAUAUAAAAGACUUAAUGUUUAUAUCACCCCAGAAUGCAUAGAUUGAAGCCCUAACCCCUAGAGUGGCCGUAUUUGGAGACGGAUCUUCUAAAAGAGUGCUUACAGGUGGGGCAGUGGCAAAACCCCAUCUCUACCAAAAGUACAAAUUAUUAGCCUGGUGUGAUGGCAUGCACCUGUAGUUCCAGCUACUCACAAGGCUGAGGUGGAAGGAUUGCUUCAGCCUGGGAGGCAGAAGUUGCAGUGAGCCAAGAUUCCAUCACUGCCCUCCAGCCUGGAUGACAGGAAAAUCUAGGAGAUGCAUCUGUGAUGAUACUGAGGAGGAUGUGUCCAACCAUAAAAUGUCAGGGCUGAGAGGAAAGAGACUCAAGUGGAUUAACUACUUCUGAGUAUUAGAGACUGAGUUGAAUCCUCCCAAAGAAAUCUCAUCACAGAUGGUUGGGAGCCACGCUGAUUAGAAUGCCAACUGUUCCAGCACUAGGACACGUUUAGAGGUGAGAAAGAUAAAAAUAUUUCUUAAGCUAAAGAUUUCCCAGAAGGAAUAGAAAAAGAGUCUAAAUCAAGGUU